CUUCUUCUUCUUCUUCUUGUUCUCUUUCACAAUACCCUCUUUCUUGUUCAACAAAGUUCAUGAUGACCCACCUGGAAUUCUUGAGCUUCUUAACACGGUAGAUCUUGGAGAAUUAAAAUCCAACCACAAGGAAAAAAUGAUGAUGGGGAAAAGAAAGUAAAGGAAAAGUUGGGUGCUAGAGGACUUUAAUUAUAGCGAAAAUGAACUAAAACAAAGGACUCACCUGUUAAAGAUUUGUUUUCUUGGUUGGAAAAUUUUGCUUCAAGAUCCGUGAGGCCACAAGAGAAGCAAAACGGAGCUGUCUCAGUACAACCAAAUGGUCGGUGCCUUCUUCUUUGACCAAAAGUAGCAAUCCAAAACCCUAAACGAGAUAAGCCAUGGAUAAUUCAUUACAUACAGAGAUGAGAGAGGAGGCAAGUUGUUCUCGUUGUUGACCUAGCUCUAGCUAACACACAGAGAAAGAGUGAGGGUUUUUGCUUACAAGUUCCAAAAUACCUCCCUCGAAGCCUCUCUCUGUCUCUCUCUCUCUCCUUUUGGAGCGGUAAUGUAAAUUUUCUUGCUUUUUUU
rnacentral:misc_RNA from 1 species